UUUCCUGGGAUGUUCGACACCUCCGUAAUUUUUGAACCUACGAAACUGAAUAAGGGAUUCCUAUAUCUGUAUGUGGAUGUCAGGCCUCCUUGCAGUGGAAGGCAGAAGCAUACGUGCGGUCACCCACCUGGCUACAUGCUGGGAGUCAAAAAGCGGAGCCGGCAUCUUGGGA
rnacentral:other from 1 species